rnacentral:RNase_P_RNA from 12 species
UGCAAGAAAGAUGAGAAGAAGAAGAAGAAGAAGAAGAAGGUAACGAAUAGGGUCAGUGACCAUUUUGCUUUCAUCAUUGUUUCUCUUUCUCUUUCUCUGUUUUUGUUUUUGUUUUUGUUCUUGUUUUUUCCCCUUGUU